CCAGCAGUCGCGGUUAGACGAAUAAUACGAGUAAAUUUUAUUAGAUUGAGUUAAAUAUAUUUUAUUUAUUAUAAAUUAAUUUAUUAGGUGAAAUUUUAAAUGUAUUUAUGUAAUUGUUUGUUUAAUUGAAGCUUUAAAAUUUUAGAAAAAAACUAGGAUUAGAUACCCUAUUAUUUAAAAUAAAAAUUUUUUUCUUAGGUAGUAUUAGUUAUGAUCUUGAAACUUAAAAAAUUUGGCGGUAUUUUAGUCUAUCCAGAGGAACCUGUUCUGUAAUCGAUAAUCCACGUUGGACCUUACUUAAUAAUGUUUUCAGCUUAUAUACCGUCGUUAUUCGAAUAUUUUAAUAGAAUAAUAAUUUUCUUAAAUUUUUAUUUAAACUUAUAUCAGAUCAAGGUGUAGCUAAUGAUUAAGUAGAAAUGGGUUACAAUAAAUUUAUUUAAACGAAUUUUAAUAUGAAAAAUUUUAUGAAGGUGGAUUUGGUAGUAAAAUUAUAUAGAUUAUUAAUUUGAUUUUAGCUCUAAAAUAUGC
rnacentral:rRNA from 1 species